rnacentral:rRNA from 1 species
CCUACGGGUGGCAGCAGUAGGGAAUAUUGGACAAUGGGCGCAAGCCUGACCCAGCAACGCCGCGUGAAGGAAGAAGGCUUUCGGGUUGUAAACUUCUGUUCUCAGGGACGAAGCAAGUGACGGUACCUGAGGAAUAAGCCACGGCUAACUACGUGCCAGCAGCUGCGGUAAUACGUAGGAGGCAAGCGUUAUCCGGAUUUACUGGGUGUAAAGGGCGUGUAGGCGGGGACGCAAGUCAGAUGUGAAAACCACGGGCUCAACCUGUGGCCUGCAUUUGAAACUGUGUUUCUUGAGUACUGGAGAGGCAGACGGAACUCCUAGUGUAGCGGUGAAAUGCGUAGAUAUUAGGAGGAACACCAGUGGCGAAGGCGGUCCGCUGGACAGCAACUGACGCUGAGGCGCGAAAGCGUGGGGAGCAAACAGGAUUAGAUACCCGUGUAGUC